GCGCCGCAGCGGGGAGGGCGCGCUCGGGCCGCGGCGCUCACUCCUCCCCCUCCCAACCUGGCGGCCGCCUCCCUUGCUUAUCUCGCUCCCCGCACUCCAGGGUCUCCUCGCUCUUUUCAUUCCUCUCUCGGCCUCUUCCACUUUCCCUCACCCACCCUCUUUCAAACGGAGGGAUCACAGACUCAACUCUCAGCUUGCUGGGGGACGACCCCCACCCCUAGCAAAACUCGACCACCUCUGACUUUGUGAAAUCUUCUUUCUGUUUGCCCCCUACAGCAGCCCCCGCUCCCCGUCCCAGGACCCGGCCGCCCCCCGCGGAGUGGACCCUGCGCCGCCCCCCAAUCCCCCCUUCCCCCCUUCUUCCUCCUAGCCCGCGGGGCCGAGUGGUGCUGCGGCGGGUGCGGCCGCCCGGAGCCUCCCUGGCCGCCCUCCCUAGGGCCGAUACUGACUCCAUCUGUCAACUUCGUUUAGACUUUGCCGCCCUCAGCCACACGCCGGGGUGCCAGACGCCCAAAGCCCAGAUGGUUCCUGAACUCCAGACAAGUGUAUGCACCUGAUUCCCUGACAGCCCUCCUUAGAUGUCCUGUCGGCGACUCAAACUCAGUGUGUCUAAUGCCCAACUCUGCACUGUGGUCUGGGCCAGGAAGAGUGCCUAUGGCAUGCUUUUGGACUGCCAUUUGUGUUUGUCUGUGGACAGGUGUGUUCAGUACACAGACUGAGUCCUCCAAGGCUUACAAGCUGGUCCACUUGGACCUUGCAAUUAACAGAGAUUGCUGACUGUGUGUAACUGCCGCAAGGGGUCAAAAGUGCCUGGUUUGCACAACAUCUCCCUGGCAUUCUUACAUGUGUGGUUAUGGAAUUGGUGCAGUGAGGGGUCAGGGAGCAGAGGGGUUUGCAUGCGCUUGAUCUCUUUCAUAUCAGAGCUACUUUCUGAAACCCAGCACAGGGAAGCAUGUCAUGUACAUGGGACCUAAGGUGGUAACCUUCACCCAGCUGGAGACUUCAGAGAGUAUUCGUACUGGGGACCAGCAGCCUGUGGUGUUGUCCCCCAGAGACGGGGAGAGAGCUGCUGCCUGCAGAGUGGCUGCUCCUGCUUCACAUGCCCCCUGGCUUCUGAGUCCCUCCAUCCCCUAGCUGGGCACGAGAGUACCAAGAGGCCCAGUAGGAGGAGAAGCCUUCAUGGAAGACAGAGGGCAAGAGCAGGCCUACCAUGCUGACUUCCUCGCCUUGUGUCUGGCUGACUGCACAGGCGUGAGGAGGUAACCAACAACAGAAACAGAUCCGGAUGAACGAGCAAAAAAGACUUGACUGAACAAGUUUCCCCAGAAUGGAGAGGAACGGGGGCAGCUCUGGGGGUGCAUGGCAGAAGCUGGUGGACCAUUUCGCUGACACCCCAGGAGCAAAUCAGUCCGACUUGUGUUUGGCCCUUGAGUCCUCCCUGCUCAAGGCUUGGAGCCCUGGAGAAUUGAGGGCAAUCACCAUACUGCAUGCCAUGAUGGUGGCUCCCCUGGAGGAAGUUGGGGUGCUGAGACUAGAGCAUGCCUUCUCCAAAUGUUGACUUCCCCAGGAAAAUACCAGCUCCCCUAAAUAAGAAUGUGUCUAUCUGCGAGGGUGAUAGUGUCACCCUUGUUAUUCAUACAUUCCGUGGGCCUGAGAACUUAGCUGGAAUAUACUGUGUUAAAUAGUAAUAUUUAUUCUUAUUUGAGUUGUUUUCUUUUUAGGGGUUGUUUCUAGCUGCCACAUUUAUCUUCCUUCAGUGUUUCCACAUUUAACAUUAGUAUUUUCAUGUUAUAUUUGUAGGAACACAUAUACGCUUGUUCCCAUGUCUUGAGCCCCUUGGUGCUAAUUACAUUGUCAGUUUUAUGUUUUAUCUAUUAAUUUUGUUAGAGAUAAGAUGUUUUUUCUCUGUCACUCAGGCUGGA